AGACUAAUAAUAUUAUGGUGUAUUCUUGUAUGCUUUAUGAUUAUAGUUAAUAUUUUAUAGUUUUUAAUUUAAAAAUAAUUAUAAGUUUGUGUAGGAGUAGAGUAGUGGAGAAUCAUUAAUUCUGUAGUGGCACAGCACACGGUGUUUAUAAUGCUCCACUACUCUUGUCCCCAUUCUAAUUUAAAAAGUGAUUGAAAUCGAUAAUAUCAAUAUUGAAAUGUAUUUAAGCUAAUACUACAUCUAUUUAUGAAAUUCAUAAUAUAGGUUGCCAAUUGAAAUUUAAAAUCCAGUAUUCAUUUUAAUCCCAAAAAUAAUG